GACGAACGCUGGCGGCGCGCCUAACACAUGCAAGUCGAACGAGCGAGAGAGAGCUUGCUUUCUCAAGCGAGUGGCGAACGGGUGAGUAACGCGUGAGGAACCUGCCUCAAAGAGGGGGACAACAGUUGGAAACGACUGCUAAUACCGCAUAAGCCCACGGCUCGGCAUCGAGCAGAGGGAAAAGGAGCAAUCCGCUUUGAGAUGGCCUCGCGUCCGAUUAGCUAGUUGGUGAGGUAACGGCCCACCAAGGCGACGAUCGGUAGCCGGACUGAGAGGUUGAACGGCCACAUUGGGACUGAGACACGGCCCAGACUCCUACGGGAGGCAGCAGUGGGGAAUAUUGCACAAUGGGGGAAACCCUGAUGCAGCGACGCCGCGCGGAGGAAGAAGGUCUUCGGAUUGUAAACUCCUGUUGUUGAGGAAGAUAAUGACGGUACUCAACAAGGAAGUGACGGCUAACUACGUGCCAGCAGCCGCGGUAAAACGUAGGUCACAAGCGUUGUCCGGAAUUACUGGGUGUAAAGGGAGCGCAGGCGGGAAGACAAGUUGGAAGUGAAAUCCAUGGGCUCAACCCAUGAACUGCUUUCAAAACUGUUUUUCUUGAGUAGUGCAGAGGUAGGCGGAAUUCCCGGUGUAGCGGUGGAAUGCGUAGAUAUCGGGAGGAACACCAGUGGCGAAGGCGGCCUACUGGGCACCAACUGACGCUGAGGCUCGAAAGUGUGGGUAGCAAACAGG
rnacentral:rRNA from 1 species